AGUCCUCAUAUCAAGACAGUUUGGUAACAUCUUUGUAAGAAUGGUUGCUUAUGGAAAUACUAACGUCACUAUGUCACAGGCAAAGGAGACAGAAAGAACUGAGGAACAGGGAGACCAGGGGCAGUCAGGUGUAGAGUCUCAGGGAGACCAGGGACAGUCAGGUGUAGAGUCUCAGGGAGAUCAGGGACAGUCAGGUGUAGAGUCUCAGGUAAGUGUGUUGAGCUUAGUUCAUAUUUUUGGAGGUGUGUGAGUCAGGGUUAGCAGAUGAGCUUUACCAAUGGCUCGCUAAUUUACAUGAUGAUGAGCUAAUUUAACAAAUGUAAAUGUAAAAGCAUUGUAUUUAUUUUAUAUGGGGUCACUUUUUUGUUUUUUAAAUAAGUCAUUGUGUUUUACGGUAUUUUUGUGGCUUGAUUGUAAACUGAAAAAGAAAUAAAUGGUUUUAAAGAAGAAU